rnacentral:rRNA from 1 species
UGAGGAAUAUUGGGCAAUGCCCGCAAGGGUGACCCAGCAACGCCGCGUGGAGGAUGAAUGUCGUAAGAUUGUAAACUCCUGUUAGAGGGGAAGAAUAGUACCGGUUGGACCGGUAUAUGACUGUACCCUCAGAGAAAGCCCCGGCUAACUACGUGCCAGCAGCCGCGGUAAUACGUAGGGGGCAAGCGUUGUCCGGAUUGACUGGGUGUAAAGGGCGCGCAGGCGGGAUAAAAAGUCAGUGGUGAAAUCCUACAGCUUAACUGUAGAACUGCCUUUGAUACUUUUAUUCUUGAGUUCGGGAGAGAGAGACGGAAUUCCAGGUGUAGUGGUGAAAUACGUAGAUAUCUGGAAGAACACCAGUUGCGAAGGCGGUCUCUUGGUCCGACACUGACGCUGAGGCGCGAAAGCGUGGGGAGCAAACA